GACGAACGCUGGCGGCGUGCUUAACACAUGCAAGUCGAACGGAAAGGCCCUGCUCUUGUGGGGUGCUCGAGUGGCGAACGGGUGAGUAACACGUGAGUAAACUGCCCUUGACUUUGGGAUAACUUCAGGAAACUGGGGCUAAUACCGGAUAGGAGCUCCUGCUGCAUGGUGGGGGUUGGAAAGUUUCGGCUGUUUGGGCUGGACUCGCGGCUUAUCAGCUUGUUGGUGGGGUAGGUGCUUACCAAGGCUGUGACGGGUAGGCGGCCUGAGAGGGGGAACAGGCACAAUAGGACUACGGUAGGGACCAGUAUCGUACCGGAGGUAACGGGCGAGAGUAUUACGCAAAAGGCCGGAGCCUGAUACGACAACGCCCGGUUCGUGAUAACGUCCUUCGAGGUAAAAACCUCUUUCUCCUUUGACGAAGCGUUAUUGACGGUAAUUAGUAAAGAAGCACCGGCUAACUACGUG
rnacentral:rRNA from 1 species